rnacentral:rRNA from 1 species
UGGGGAAUAUUGGACAAUGGACGAAAGUCUGACCGAGCAACGCCGCGUGAGUGAAGAAGGUUUUCGGAUCGUAGAACUCUGUUGGUAGAGAAGAACGUUGGUGAGAGUGGAAAGCUCAUCAAGUGACGGUAACUACCCAGAAAGGGACGGCUAACUACGUGCCAG